rnacentral:rRNA from 1 species
CGCGUAGGUGGUUUGUUAAGUUGGAUGUGAAAGCCCCGGGCUCAACCUGGGAACUGCAUCCAAAACUGGCAAGCUAGAGUACGGUAGAGGGUGGUGGAAUUUCCUGUGUAGCGGUGAAAUGCGUAGAUAUAGGAAGGAACACCAGUGGCGGAGGCGACCACCUGGACUGAUACUGACACUGAGGUGCGAAAGCGUGGGAGCAACA